AAUUCGAUUGAGUUUGAUCAUGGCUCAGAACGAACGCUGGCGGCGUGGAUAAGACAUGCAAGUCGAGCGAGAUUUUUUCUUGUAGCAAUACAGGGAAAAGUCUAGCGGCGAACGGGUGCUUAACACGUGGGCAACCUGCCGUGAAGUGGGGGAUAGCUCGCCGAAAGGCGAAUUAAUACCGCAUGUGAUUAGAGAGGACAUCCUUUCGAAAUUAAAGUCGGGGCAACCUGACGCUUCUUGUGGGGCCCGCGGCCUAUCAGCUAGUUGGUGAGGUAACGGCUCACCAAGGCUUUGACGGGUAGCUGGUCUGAGAGGACGACCAGCCACACUGGGACUGAGACACGGCCCAGACACCUACGGGUGGCAGCAGUCGAGAAUUUUUGACAAUGGGGGAAACCCUGAUCGAGCGACGCCGCGUGGAGGAUGAAGGUCUUCGGAUUGUAAACUCCUGUCAUUGGGGAACAAGGUGCAUACGUUAACUGCGUAUGUAUUGAUAGUACCCGAAGAGGAAGGGACGGCUAACUCUGUGCCAGCAGCCGCGGUAAUACAGAGGUCCCAAGCGUUGUUCGGAUUCAUUGGGCGUAAAGGGCGCGUAGGCGGCGCGGUAAGUCGGGUGUGAAAUCUCGGAGCUUAACU
rnacentral:rRNA from 1 species